UUAGAGUUUGAUCCUGGCUCAGGAUGAACGCUAGCUACAGGCUUAACACAUGCAAGUCGAGCGGUAUGUGCUUUAGUGCAUACAGCGGCAGACGGGUGAGUAACACGUAUCUAACCUUCCCCUUACUUGGGCAUAGCCUCUGGAAACGGAGAUUAAUUUCCGAUGUGGUGUACAUUUCGCAUGUUUUGCGCACCAAAGAUUUAUCGGUAAGGGAUGGGGAUGCGCUCCAUUAGGUUGUAGGUAGGGUAAUGGCCUACCUAGCCUAUGAUGGAUAGGGGUUCUGAGAGGAAGGUCCCCCACAUUGGAACUGCGACACGGUCCAAACUCCUACGGGAGGCAGCAGUGAGGAAUAUUGGUCAAUGGCCGGAAGGCUGAACCAGCCAAGUAGCGUGCAGGAUGACUGCCUUAUGGGUUGUAAACUGCUUUUUUACGGGAAUAAUUAUGAUCACGUGUGAUUAUUUGCAUGUACCGUAAGAAUAAGGAUCGGCUAACUCCGUGCCAGCAGCCGCGGUAAUACGGAGGAUCCUAGUGUUAUCCGGAUUUAUUGGGUUUAAAGGGUACGUAGGCGGACUCAUAAGUCAGUGGUGAAAUUCUGCAGCUUAACUGUAGCAUUGCCAUUGAUACUGUUUGUCUUGAGUAUAGAUGAGGUAGGCGGAAUGUAGUGUGUAGCGGUGAAAUGCAUAGAUAUACUACGGAACACCGAUUGCGAAGGCAGCUUACUAAACUAUUACUGACGCUGAGGUACGAAAGCGUGGGGAGCAAACAGGAUUAGAUACCCUGGUAGUCCACGCCGUAAACUAUGAUUACUAGUUGUUUGCGAUAUACAGUAAGCGACUGCGCGAAAGCAUUAAGUAAUCCACCUGGGGAGUACGUUGGCAACAAUGAAACUCAAAGGAAUUGACGGGGGCCCGCACAAGCGGAGGAACAUGUGGUUUAAUUCGAUGAUACGCGAGGAACCUUACCUGGGCUUAAAUGGGGAGUGACAGACUUGGAAACAGGUUUUUCUUCGGACACUCUUCAAGGUGCUGCAUGGUUGUCGUCAGCUCGUGCCGUGAGGUGUCGGGUUAAGUCCCAUAACGAGCGCAACCCCUAUCGAUAGUUACCAGCACGUAGUGGUGGGGACUCUAUUGAGACUGCCGGUGUAAACCGUGAGGAAGGUGGGGAUGACGUCAAAUCAGCACGGCCCUUACGUCCAGGGCUACACACGUGCUACAAUGGUAGUUACAAAGCGAUGCGACACCGCGAGGUAUUUAGCAAAUCGCAAAAAAGCUAUCGUAGUUCGGAUUGGAGUCUGAAACUCGACUCCAUGAAGUUGGAAUCGCUAGUAAUCGCGCAUCAGCACGGCGCGGUGAAUACGUUCCCGGGCCCUUGCACACACCGCCCGUCA
rnacentral:rRNA from 1 species